AUUGAACGCUGGCGGAAUGCUUUACACAUGCAAGUCGAGCGGCAGCGCGGGGCAACCUGGCGGCGAGCGGCGAACGGGUGAGUAAUACAUCGGAACGUACCCAGUUGUGGGGGAUAGCCCGGCGAAAGCCGGAUUAAUACCGCAUACGACCUGAGGGGGAAAGUGGGGGAUCGCAAGACCUCUCGCAGUUGUAGCGGCCGAUGGCGGAUUAGCUAGUUGGUGGGGUAAAGGACCACCAAGGCGACGAUCCGUAGCGGGUCUGAGAGGACGACCCGCCACACUGGAACUGAGACACGGUCCAGACUCCUACGGGAGGCAGCAGUGGGGAAUUUUGGACAAUGGGGGCAACCCUGAUCCAGCCAUUCCGCGUGAGUGAAGAAGGCCUUCGGGUUGUAAAGCUCUUUCGGCAGGAACGAAACGGUGGGUCUUAAUACGAUCUGCUAAUGACGGUACCUGAAGAAGAAGCACCGGCUAACUACGUGCCAGCAGCCGCAGUAACAC
rnacentral:rRNA from 1 species